rnacentral:rRNA from 1 species
ACUAGUGAUUUCCGUAGGUGAACCUGCGGAAGGAUCAUUA